rnacentral:rRNA from 1 species
GACGAACGCUGGCGGCGUGCCUAACACAUGCAAGUCGAGCGAGUGAAUUUCCUUCGGGAUUGAAGCUAGCGGCGGACGGGUGAGUAACACGUGGGCAACCUGCCUCAUAGAGGGGAAUAGCCUUUCGAAAGGAAGAUUAAUACCGCAUAAGAUUGUAGCUUCGCAUGGAGUAGCAAUUAAAGGAGCAAUCCGCUAUGAGAUGGGCCCGCGGCGCAUUAGCUAGUUGGUGAGGUAACGGCUCACCAAGGCGACGAUGCGUAGCCGACCUGAGAGGGUGAUCGGCCACAUUGGGACUGAGACACGGCCCAGACUCCUACGGGAGGCAGCAGUGGGGAAUAUUGCACAAUGGGGGAAACCCCGAUGCAGCAACGCCGCGUGAGUGAUGACGGCCUUCGGGUUGUAAAGCUCUGUCUUCAGGGACGAUAAUGACGGUACCUGAGGAGGAAGCCACGGCUAACUACGUGCCAGCAGCCGCGGUAA